UGGGGAAUUUUGGACAAUGGACGCAAGUCUGAUCCAGCCAUGCCGCGUGCGGGAAGAAGGCCUUCGGGUUGUAAAGCCCUUUUGUCCGGAAAGAAAAGCUCUCGGUUAAUAGUCGAGGGUCCUGACGGUACCGGAAGAAUAAGCACCGGCUAACUACGUGCCAGCAGCCGCGGUAAUACGUAGGGUGCAAGCGUUAAUCGGAAUUACUGGGCGUAAAGCGUGCGCAGGCGGUUGUGUAAGACAGAUGUGAAAUCCCCGGGCUCAACCUGGGAACUGCAUUUGUGACUGCACAGCUGGAGUGCGGCAGGGGGGGAUGGAAUUCCGCGUGUAGCAGUGAAAUGCGUAGAUAUGCGGAGGAACACCGAUGGCGAAGGCAAUCCCCUGGGCCUGCACUGACGCUCAUGCACGAAAGCGUGGGGAGCAAACA
rnacentral:rRNA from 1 species